CAGGCGUUUUCAAUCAUCUCUGGCUGAAACUUGUAGCUACGGUGAAGCCCCAGUAGUCAUCCAGACAAGGGACCAGCAGCCACUCUGUAUGAACAAUCAGUCUAGCCAGCUCGACCAUGUGCGAUCUUCAUAGCAAACCCAGCCUUGUGCGUCUGUGGCUGAAGCUCCAAGCUUGCAAGGCACUGCUCUUCGCCUUUGGGCAUGGGCCCCAAGCACAGCUUUUACCUGCCAGAAACUGAAGAUUCUACAUUCUGGCUGCAAAAUCCACUUGGGUCACUGGGGGAUGUUAAUCAUGAAGACUGAUCCUCAACACCCAGCCCUCUGCUGCUCCCAUGUGUAUGGGCCCUGUCACCC